AUUGAACGCUGGCGGCAUGCUUUACACAUGCAAGUCGAACGGUAACAGGGAGCUUGCUCCGCUGACGAGUGGCGAACGGGUGAGUAAUGCGUCGGAACGUGCCGAGUAGUGGGGGAUAACGCAUCGAAAGGUGUGCUAAUACCGCAUACGUACUGAGGUAGAAAGUGGGGGACCUUCGGGCCUCACGCUAUUCGAUCGGCCGACGUCUGAUUAGCUAGUUGGUGAGGUAAAGGCUCACCAAGGCGACGAUCAGUAGCGGGUCCGAGAGGAUGAUCCGCCACACUGGGACUGAGACACGGCCCAGACUCCUACGGGAGGCAGCAGUGGGGAAUUUUGGACAAUGGGCGCAAGCCUGAUCCAGCCAUGCCGCGUGUCUGAAGAAGGCCUUCGGGUUGUAAAGGACUUUUGUCCGGGAGCAAAUGCCUGGUGUUAAUAGCACUGGGAGCUGAGAGUACCGGAAGAAUAAGCACCGGCUAACCACGUGCCAGCCGCCGCCGUAAAAC
rnacentral:rRNA from 1 species